rnacentral:SRP_RNA from 1 species
GCUGGGUGUGGUGGCGGAUGCCUGUAAUCCCAGCUACUUGGGAGGCUGAGGCAGGAGAAUUGCUUGAACCUGGGAGGCAGAGGUUGCAGUGAGCCAAGAUUGUGCCACUGCAUUUUAGCCUGGGUGACAGAGCAAGACUCUGUCUCAG